rnacentral:rRNA from 1 species
AUGGUCUGCGUCUGGAAGAAUUUCGGUUGGGGAUGGGCUCGCGGCCUAUCAGCUUGUUGGUGAGGUAAUGGCUCACCAAGGCGUCGACGGGUAGCCGGCCUGAGAGGGUGACCGGCCACACUGGGACUGAGACACGGCCCAGACUCCUACGGGAGGCAGCAGUGGGGAAUAUUGCACAAUGGGCGCAAGCCUGAUGCAGCAACGCCGCGUGAGGGACGACGGCCUUCGGGUUGUAAACCUCUUUUAGCAGGGAAGAAGCGAAAGUGACGGUACCUGCAGAAAAAGCGCCGGCUAACUACGUGCCAGCAGCCGCGGUAAUACGUAGGGCGCAAGCGUUAUCCGGAAUUAUUGGGCGUAAAGAGCUCGUAGGCGGUUUGUCGCGUCUGCUGUGAAAUCCGGAGGCUCAACCUCCGGCCUGCAGUGGGUACGGGCAGACUAGAGUGCGGUAGGGGAGAUCGGAAUUCCUGGUGA